rnacentral:tRNA from 1 species
AUUAAAGUAGCUUAAUUAAAGCACAGCUCUGAAGAAGCUGAGAUGAUUUCAUUUAUAUCCUUUAAUA